UCGUAACAAGGUUUCCGUAGGUGAACCUGCGGAAGGAUCAUUACUGUGAUUUAGUACUACACUGCGUGAGCGGAACGAAAACAAAAACACCUAAAAUGUGGAAUAUAGCAUAUAGUCGACAAGAGAAAUCUACGAAAAACAAACAAAACUUUCAACAACGGAUCUCUUGGUUCUCGCAUCGAUGAAGAGCGCAGCGAAAUGCGAUACCUAGUGUGAAUUGCAGCCAUCGUGAAUCAUCGAGUUCUUGAACGCACAUUGCGCCCCUCGGCAUUCCGGGGGGCAUGCCUGUUUGAGCGUCGUUUCCAUCUUGCGCGUGCGCAGAGUUGGGGGAGCGGAGCGGACGACGUGUAAAGAGCGUCGGAGCUGCGACUCGCCUGAAAGGGAGCGAAGCUGGCCGAGCGAACUAGACUUUUUUUCAGGGACGCUUGGCGGCCGAGAGCGAGUGUUGCGAGACAACAAAAAGCUCGACCUCAAAUCAGGUAGGAAUACCCGCUGAACUUAAGCAUAUCAAUAA
rnacentral:misc_RNA from 1 species